rnacentral:rRNA from 1 species
AAUAGAUACCCUGGUAGUCCUGGCCCUAAACGAUGUCCACUAGAUCGUAGCAGCUCUGACGUUGUUAUGGUCGAAGCAAAAGUGCUAAGUGGACCGCCUGGGAAGUACGGUCGCAAGGCUAAAACUCAAAGGAAUUGACGGGGGCUCACACAAGCGGUGGAGCAUGUGGUUCAAUUCGAAGCAACGCGCAGAACCUUACCUGGGCUUGACAUGCCAGGAUUAUCCCCAUGAAAGUGGGGUAGGCCCUUCGGGGUACAACUGGUACAGGUGCUGCAUGGCUGUCGUCAGCUCGUGUCGUGAGAUGUCGGGUUAAGUCCCUUAACGAGCGAAACCUUUGCCCUUAGUUACCAGCGGGUUAUGCCGGGGAUUCUAAGGGGACUGCCGGUGUCAAACCGGAGGAAGGUGGGGACGACGUCAAAUCAUCAUGCCCCUUAUGUCUUGGGCUUCACGCAUGCUACAAUGGCCGGUACAAAGGGUUGCGAUACUGUGAGGUGGAGCUAAUCCCAAAAAGCCGGUCUCAGUUCGGAUUGGGGUCUGCAACUCGACCCC